GGUUGAAAAUUAUAUUAACUCGACCGAAGGUUGUAAGAAGAUCGAAUUUACGCGGUGCUAUUGUGAAAGGGAUAUUUUACAAGUGCUCGCAUAAACCGGAAGGCAUGGAACUAGUGGAUUAUUAUAAUACGUACACUAUUGGUACCGGCGACGCGCAAUCAAAAUUUUCUUACCAUAUUCUCUUGCAUCUUUCCGAUUUAUAUAAUUUCACACUCGAUGCUCAGGAAACCACGAAGUGGAUUCCAGGUGACACAUUGGGUCCCAUAGCGAGAGCUCUAAUAAAUUAUACGGCAG